AGCCGCCGUCUUCCCUGGAGAUAGGAUCAAGCUGUUCAGGAGAUGUCAUAAGGAUUUGGGAUACUGUGUCUGAAUACAUCCAGCAAAUGCUCCUGAUGAAUCAGGGUAUCAGAAUACCUGGAUUUGGGACAUUCUUGACCAUUGAGCAACAAAUACUGGAUGUUGGAUACAGUGUUGUGACUGUUGGGAGGCCAGUUUUUCAGAUAUCGGACGCUUUGGCAGAUGUUUGUGGGCUCAUUCCCGC